UAGGUUAGAUGGCAUAUGAUGAAACUUGGAAACUUUUGAAACUUGCUUACCUUAUGUCAUUGUGUAACUAUCUUCUUUGUUUUAACAGGAUCGAGAGGUAAAUUCCAGGGUCAAAUUACAUCGACUGCGCUACUUACUCUAUAAAGCCUUGCCUGUUCUGAGGCAUAUUCACAGGGAGCAAAGCUUAGAACUAGAGAUUGAAUCUAAAGUAAGAGGUGAGCAACUGCAAGAAAAAGGCAUAGCAAGAACAGAGCUAGACAAACGUGAGCGUUUAUACUGGCAUGUUUUCUGAGUUUAAUUGCUGUUGCAAGAACAGAGCUGUUGCCUUAGUUAUUUAAUUGUUGAAAUGACCAAUAGAGGAGUGGAUCUUUUGUUGAAUGUACUGGCAGCAUCUAGGCUAUGAUCUCAGCAUUUCUAGUUCUGUUCUAAUCCCGCCACUUUCAUUCCCUGGAUUCCAUUCGCAAGAUUCUACAAACGAUGGACUAUUUGAAGUCUGAAGAUGAAUUUGUGAUCCAAACAAAGUGCCCAAUGGUGAUGAGACAUUUUAGGGAUGAUCUAAGACUAGUUUAGCACCGUUAGAGAGAAUAAUGAGAGAAGGAUUUGGUGAAUAAGAGCUAGCAAUGACCUUGUCAGAAUAUUUAGCACUAAAACAUGUCUUGAAAGGAAAGUUAGUCUCGUCAAAUUAAAGAAAAUAUGUGUGCUGAGUAUUGUUUUUCUAGCUGUAGUUAAACACUUGUAUCCCUUGUGUUGAGGGCCAUAGGCUAUAGCCAAGAAAUACACAACAUUCACUCCUAUCAUCUAUCUUAUAUGAA